GGGCUUGUGGUUUAGUGGUAUAAUGUUCCCUUAGCAAUUACAUAUAUGGGAGAGGUCCGGUGUUCAAUUCACCGCUAGUCCA